AUUGAACGCUGGCGGCAUGCUUUACACAUGCAAGUCGAACGGCCGCGCGGGCUUCUUCCUUCCGUGGAGUGGCGAACGGAUGAGUAAUGCAUCGGAAGAUGCCCAGUCUUUGGGGAUGGCCCGGCUACAGCCGGCUUAAUCCCACAUACGACCUGAGGGUGAACGCGGGGGUCCAAAAGUCCUAGCGCUUUUUGCUCUCCCUAUGUCGGAUUAGCUAGUUGGUUGGGUAAAGGCUUACCAAGGCGACGAUCCGUAGCUGGUCUGAGAGGCCGACCUGCCACACUGGGACUGAGACACGGCCCAGACUCCUACGGGAGGCAGCAGUGGGGAAUUUUGGACAAUGGGGGCAACCCUGAUCGAGCCAUGCCGCGUGAGGGAAGAAGGCCUUCGGGUUGUAAAACGCUUUUGUUCGGGAAGAAAUCCUGUGGGCUAAUACCCCGGGGGGAUGACGGUACCGGAAGAAUAAGCACCGGCUAACUACGUG
rnacentral:rRNA from 1 species